UACGUAGGGGGCUAGCGUUGUCCGGAUUUAUUGGGCGUAAAGAGCGUGUAGGCGGCCAGGUAAGUCUGCUGUGAAAACUCGAGGCUCAACCUCGAGACGUCGGCGGAAACCAUCUGGCUAGAGUCCGGAAGAGGAGAGUGGAAUUCCUGGUGUAGCGGUGAAAUGCGCAGAUAUCAGGAAGAACACCCGUGGCGAAGGCGGCUCCCUGGGACGGUACUGACGCUGAACUGCGAAAGCUAGGGGAGCGAACGGG
rnacentral:rRNA from 1 species